AUGCACGCUGGCUACAGGCUUAACACCUGCAAGUCGAGGGGAAACGACGGGGAAGCUUGCUUCCCCGGGCGUCGACCGGCGCACGGGUGAGUAACGCGUAUCCAACCUGCCUCUGACUGAGGGAUAACCCGUCGAAAGUCGGCCUAAUACCUCAUGGCAUCGUCUGCGGGCAUCCAACGACGAUUAAAGAUUUCAUCGGUCAGAGAUGGGGAUGCGUCUGAUUAGCUUGUUGGCGGGGUAACGGCCCACCAAGGCGACGAUCAGUAGGGGUUCUGAGAGGAAGGUCCCCCACAUUGGAACUGAGACACGGUCCAAACUCCUACGGGAGGCAGCAGUGAGGAAUAUUGGUCAAUGGGCGAGAGCCUGAACCAGCCAAGUAGCGUGCAGGAUGACGGCCCUAUGGGUUGUAAACUGCUUUUAUGCGGGGAUAAAGUGAGGGACGUGUCCUUCAUUGCAGGUACCGCAUGAAUAAGGACCGGCUAAUUCCGUG
rnacentral:rRNA from 1 species